GCUGGCGGCGUGGAUAAGACAUGCAAGUCGAACGGGAUUUUCUUUGGUAGCAAUACCGAAGAAAGUCUAGUGGCGAACGGGUGCGUAACACGUGGGCAAUCUGCCUUAAAGUGGGGGAUAGCUCGGCGAAAGCCGAAUUAAUACCGCAUGUGAUUACCGGAGAAUUCUUCGGAACAUCAAAGUCGGGGCAACCUGACGCUUUUUGAGGAGCCCGCGGCCUAUCAGCUAGUUGGUGAGGUAACGGCUCACCAAGGCUCUGACGGGUAGCUGGUCUGAGAGGACGACCAGUCACACUGGAACUGAGACACGGUCCAGACACCUACGGGUGGCAGCAGUCGAGAAUUUUUCUCAAUGGGGGAAACCCUGAAGGAGCGACGCCGCGUGGAGGAUGAAGGUCUUCGGGUUGUAAACUCCUGUCAUUUGGGAACAAUGCUUACGUAUUAACUGUACGUGAGUUGAUAGUACCAGAAGAGGAAGAGACGGCUAACUCUGUGCCAGCAGCCGCGGUAAUACAGAGGUCUCAAGCGUUGUUCGGAUUCAUUGGGCGUAAAGGGUGUGUAGGUGGCGCGCUAAGUCGGGUGUGAAAUUUC
rnacentral:rRNA from 1 species